GACGAACGCUGGCGGCGUGCCUAAUACAUGCAAGUCGAGCGGACUUUUAAAAGCUUGCUUUUAAAAGUUAGCGGCGGACGGGUGAGUAACACGUGGGCAACCUGCCUGUAAGACUGGGAUAACUCCGGGAAACCGGAGCUAAUACCGGAUAACACUUUUAACCACAUGGUUUGAAGUUGAAAGAUGGUUUACGCUAUCACUUACAGAUGGGCCCGCGGCGCAUUAGCUAGUUGGUGAGGUAACGGCUCACCAAGGCGACGAUGCGUAGCCGACCUGAGAGGGUGAUCGGCCACACUGGGACUGAGACACGGCCCAGACUCCUACGGGAGGCAGCAGUAGGGAAUCUUCCGCAAUGGACGAAAGUCUGACGGAGCAACGCCGCGUGAGUGAUGAAGGUUUUCGGAUCGUAAAACUCUGUUGUUAGGGAAGAACAAGUACCAUAGUAACUGAUGGUACCUUGACGGUACCUAACCAGAAAGCCACGGCUAACUACGUGCCAGCCGCCGCCGUAAAAC
rnacentral:rRNA from 1 species